GAAAUCUCUGAGAUGAGGAUGCAAUAGCAUGCAGAAUUUUUUAAACGUAUUGUAUUCGUUUCCUAGGGCUGCUGUAACAAAAUACGACAAACUGGUUGCCUAAAACAACAGAAACUUAUCCCACAGUCAAGGAGGCCAGAAGUCUAAAAUGAAGUCCCAACUGCUCGGAGGCUGAGGUGGGAAGAUUGUCUGAGCCAGAGAAGUUGCACCACUGUACUCCAGGCUGGGUGAAAGAACAAGACCCUUUCUAAAAAAAAAUUAAUAAUAAUAAUAAAGAAAUAAAAAAUAAGAGAAAAUAAUUUUUUUCUAGUAAAUAAAA
rnacentral:lncRNA from 10 species